rnacentral:rRNA from 1 species
AGAGGUGGCAAGCGUUGUUCGGAAUUACUGGGCGUAAAGGGCGCGUAGGUGGCCUUCUUAGUCAGACGUGAAAUCCCCAGGCUUAACCUGGGAACUGCGUCUGAUACUGGAAGGCUCGAGUUCGGGAGAGGAAUGUGGAAUUCCAGGUGUAGCGGUGAAAUGCGUAGAUAUCUGGAGGAACACCGGUGGCGAAGGCGGCAUUCUGGACCGAAACUGACGCUGAGGCGCGAAAGCCAGGGGAGCAAACGGGAUUAGAUACCCCGGUAGUCCUGGCCCUAAACGAUGAGUGCUUGGUGUGGCGGGUAUCGAUCCCUGCCGUGCCGAAGCUAACGCAUUAAGCACUCCGCCUGGGGAGUACGGUCGCAAGG